UACGUAGGGUGCAAGCGUUGUCCGGAAUUAUUGGGCGUAAAGAGCUCGUAGGCGGUCUGUCGCGUCUGCUGUGAAAACUCAGGGCUUAACCCUGAGCUUGCAGUGGGUACGGGCAGACUAGAGUGCGGUAGGGGAGACUGGAAUUCCUGGUGUAGCGGUGAAAUGCGCAGAUAUCAGGAGGAACACCGGUGGCGAAGGCGGGUCUCUGGGCAUUAACUGACGCUGAGGAGCGAAAGCAUGGGGAGCGAACAGG
rnacentral:rRNA from 1 species